UGGGAGCAUCUAUAGCAAGUGCUUGCACAGCAGUGGCUCUCAACCUUUCCAAACUACUGUACCCCUUUCAGGAGUCUGGUUUCUCUUGUGUACCCCCAA